UAAAUGCAGGAGUUAUUUAAAAAGAAAAUCUUGAAUAUCUCGGAAUCCAGGCAAGUCUAGCAAAAAAUGGAAAACAAUGGAAGUUGAAAAUAUGUAUAAAUGAUACCAACUAGAGGACAAGUGUUCACUAGAAGAGACUCCUAGAGGCUUAGUAUAUUAGAGAUAUAACUACCAGAGUAUAUUACAGAACCCUAGUGUUAGAUAAUCCUUAAGAGAGGCGUAUUGAAACAUUAUGGACCCAAAUUGAGCAUUUAUGAUAUUCAGGAUUCAUAUAGUGACUAGUCAGGGGCGGAUCUAUAAUGCACUAUAUGAGUUCACGUAAAUCCAAUAACUUUGCCCAAGACCUUGUAUGUAUUAAACAAUCCACUAGAUAUCUAUAAUAUUUGAUUGUGAACCCAGUCAUUACUGUAUAUUAACUCGACGUAGCAAUAGGAACCCAUAAAUUUCAAAUCUUGGAUCCACCUAUCCGAUAGAGCCGACCCCAACAAGAUUUGGAUUAAGGCGUAGUAGUAGUUGUAGUCAUAUACCUAUGAAAGUUACAUGGACUAUCUCAUAGAUCCUCUAAUUUUUUAUAUUAUAAUGUUCAACCACCAUAUUUUGUGCACCAAAAUUAUGAGGGGAUUUAGUUAGGCAUUUUAUGAUAGUGCACAAACACGGAUAUUAACAGAUGUAAAAUUGAAUGGAAAAGCAAGAGAUAAUCCUAAACGUUAGCUGCUACGUGUGAUUUAAUGACUUAGGGUUCACAAAUAAUUUCGCUAAUAUAAAAUACAUAAGGAUCCUAUCUGAAUUCAAGCACAAAAUCUACAGUUCGACACUGAAUGUUAAAAGAUAAAUAAACAACAUGAAAUUUACUUAAUGCUUUAACAAUGAUGCGAUAUUCAAAGAAUAAGGAUAAGGAAGAGGAUAAAUGGAACUUACUACUCGGGAUUCAUUGCGAUCGAGGGAAGAUGAAAUUCGCCGGUGUCUGAGGGAUUUACCGGCGAGAAUUGACCGGAAUCUGAAUCGGAAUCUUCGUGGGUGAAUUAAGAAGCAAAAAUGUGAGGAGCAAAGGAUAUUGAAUGAGAGAGCACGUGUGAUGAAGACACGUAGAGAAGGCGUUGAAAUUUGAGGAAGAGAAUUUGCUUUUCGUUUUGCUUAUUUUUCUUUUCUUUCCCUUUGAGUUUUCUUUUUGGAUUAGUUUGGAUUUACUCGAUGCUUGAACUUGAGACCAAUGUUUAAAAGGCUUUUUCGAAACUUGCUUCAAGGCUCGUCUCGGGGCGUUGUACAAUCGAAAUACCUUAAGGCUAACAUAUGAGAGCUUAGUCUCCAAGCGUUCGAUUGUGUGCCAUAAAUACGUUUAUCGCUCGACGCUUAGAAUUUGCCGAUAAUUUCU
rnacentral:lncRNA from 1 species